rnacentral:rRNA from 1 species
UACGUAGGGUGCAAGCGUUGUCCGGAAUUAUUGGGCGUAAAGAGCUCGUAGGCGGUUCGUCGCGUCGGCUGUGAAAACCUGAGGCUCAACCUCAGGCCUGCAGUCGAUACGGGCGGACUUGAGUACUGCGAGGGGAGACUGGAAUUCCUGGUGUAGCGGUGGAAAUGCGCAGAUAUCAGGAGGGAACACCGGUGGCGAAGGCGGGUCUCUGGGCAGUAACUGACGUGGAGGAGCG